AUUGAACGCUGGCGGCAUGCCUUACACAUGCAAGUCGAACGGCAGCACGGGUGCUUGCACCUGGUGGCGAGUGGCGAACGGGUGAGUAAUACAUCGGAACGUACCUUAUCGUGGGGGAUAACGCAGCGAAAGCUGUGCUAAUACCGCAUACGCCCUGAGGGGGAAAGCGGGGGAUCGCAAGACCUCGCGCGAUUAGAGCGGCCGAUGCCGGAUUAGCUUGUUGGUGGGGUAAAAGCCCACCAAGGCGACGAUCAGUAGCUGGUCUGAGAGUACGAGCAGCCACACGGGGACUGAGACACGGCCCAGACGCCUACGGGAGGCAGCACUGGGGAAUUUUGGACAAUGGGGGCAACCCUGAUCCAGCGAUGCCGCGUGAGUGAAGAAGGCGUUCGGGUUGUAAAGCUCUUUUGUCAGGGAAGAAACACCGGCUCUAACACAGUCCGGGAAUGACGGUACCUGAAGAAGAAGCACCGGCUAACUACGUGCCAGCCGCCUCGGUAA
rnacentral:rRNA from 1 species